UGUCAACAAUUCAAAGAAAAGAGCUCGUCGCAUAAAUUUGAAACGAAAAAAAAACUUAAAGAAAUGGAUGCCGCCAAUAAACUAAUCGCAGACAAAAUUGCCAAAAUGAAAGGAGACAAGGAGGAAUUCAAGCAAGAAUACAAGGAAGUUGGGGACCUCCUGGACGUGCUCCAGGAGAAGCUUGCAAAGGCCCAUCUCACGGAGAGAACAAAGGUCGUCUUGCGCAAGGAGAUCCAGAAGAAGACUUAUGCCUUACACACAUUCAAAUUUUAAAUUUAAAUAAGUAAAAUAAAUUCAAUUAAUAAAUAAAUUAAUAUUUCACUAUA